rnacentral:rRNA from 1 species
AGUGAACGCUGGCGGUAGGCCUAACGCAUGCAAGUCGAACGGCAGCACAGUAAGAGCUUGCUCUUACGGGUGGCGAGUGGCGGACGGGUGAGGAAUACAUCGGAAUCUACUUUUUCGUGGGGGAUAACGUAGGGAAACUUACGCUAAUACCGCAUACGACCUACGGGUGAAAGCAGGGGAUCUUCGGACCCUGCGCGAUUGAAUGAGCCGAUGUCGGAUUAGCUAGUUGGCGGGGUAAAGGCCCACCAAGGCGACGAUCCGUAGCUGGUCUGAGAGGAUGAUCAGCCACACUGGAACUGAGACACGGUCCAGACUCCUACGGGAGGCAGCAGUGGGGAAUAUUGGACAAUGGGCGCAAGCCUGAUCCAGCCAUACCGCGUGGGUGAAGAAGGCCUUCGGGUUGUAAAGCCCUUUUGUUGGGAAAGAAAAGCAGCAGGUUAAUACCCCGCUGUUCUGACGGUACCCAAAGAAUAAGCACCGGCUAACUUCGUG